rnacentral:rRNA from 1 species
UCCCGAAACUAAGCGAGCUACUCUAAAACAGCCCACAGAGCCAACUCAUCCCUGUUGCAAAAGGGUGAGAAGAUUUUAAAGUAGAGGUGAUACACCUAUCGAGCCUAGAGAUAGCUGGUUAUUCAAAAGACGGAUUUUAGUCCAACUUUAAGUUUUAUUAGUCUUAUUAAACAAUUACUAAACUUAAAAGCCAUUCAAAUAAGGUACAGCCUAUUUGAACAAGGAUACAACCUAUAACACUGGGUAAUGUAUAUUACGUGGCCAAGUAGGCCUAAAAGCAGCCAUCUUCUAAAAAGCGCUCAAGCUUCCCCACUAAAUAUUUUUAAUACUACUAUUAACCCACAACCCCCAACCACUACUGAAUGAUUCUAUAACUAUAUAGAAGACACCAUGCUAGAACUAGUAACAAGAAGAUGAACUUCUCCACAAUGUAAACGUAAGCCUAUAAUAAACCCCUUACCGGCACUUACCGUCACAUCUACAGUAUACUUUCACAAGAAAACUCUACUAAUUUAAACGCUAGCCUUACACCAGAACAUUACCGGAAAGAUUAAAAGAGGGGGAAGGAACUCGGCAAAUAAAAG